rfam:Gossypium hirsutum cultivar TM-1 chromosome 6, whole genome shotgun sequence
UGUUAAGAAUUUCGUCCACUUGUACUGAUAAAAAUUGGCAUGGUUGAUAGAAUAGCCAAACAGUGACAUGUGGCCUAGCACGUCUACCUAAUGUUUAUGUACAGGGGAUUGAUUUUCAACAAUAGAAACAAACGAAAUUUUAAAA